UGUUCUUGCUAUUGCUGAUAGUGUGACCAUUAUAAUUCAGCCUUUGUCCUGGUUUCCUUCGCGUUAGCAAUCAAGAAGGGGAUAACUCACAUUUGAUUGGCUAAUAUUAUUUGAAGGAAGGAUAAAUAAUAAGUUGACAAUGAAACGAACGGUUAGUGAAGUGGAAAAAGUGAGUGAACAAAAUACCGAAGCUUCAACUUCAAAAUCAUCCCAACCACCGCCAAAGAAGAGACGGGGUCUGACACAAUGCAAGAAUGUCAUAGACGCGAAAACCUUAUUACCUUUAAGGGUUAAUAAGUUUGGACAGCCGAUCGGUCCUGGGAGUGGUACACAUACUAAUUAUCUGGGAACACUUGCCUGGAAGGGUGAAUUAGCUCCUUUGUGCUACAAAACUUAGUGGGAGAUGCCUAAACG